AUCAUGACAGCUGCUUUUCAUGGCUCCCACUGUACAGUGUUCUACUGUUCUGUGGUGUGGCUAUUUCUGUUGGAAGUUAGUUGCCUCUAUUCAUUGAAGCUACUGAAAGUUUUCUUCACUUGACUACAGUAUGGAUAUGGAGCAUCUGUAACUGUCCUUCCAAGAAGUCUUUCUGGCAAGCAUCAGAUGACUUAACCAUUUGCUCCCUUUACAUUGUAGUUUCUUUUCAUCUUCAUUUUUCCACUGAUAUGUAAAGCUGGAUAGCAUCUAAGACUGCAGUAGACUAUGAGAGGAAGAAGAAGAGGAAGGGCUGCUCAGCUGUUGUGAUACCCAGAUGGGGCUGCUUACACCUGCUUCUGCUGAACCAGGCUGCUCAACCAAGCCAGGUGUAAACCAGUGUUCUGUAAAUGAUCAUCUAAAAUUGGUGUUCCAUCAUCGUGGGGGAAGAGCACAUUUGGAGGGAAGGAAGGAACAAUCAAGUGUUUAAUUCUGAAGAACUCAUCACUGGAUGUCUCCAGAGAGGACUCAGAAAACCAAUGGAAGUGAGACAAACUGAAGUGUGGUUGGAAACUAGGCUGGGUAGCAGAGACAGUGUCCAAGCAUCUGGAUAAAUGGAUACAGGAGAUGAGAGACACUAUAAUAUAACAAUUCCACUAGAUGAUAAUAGACUAGUUGAAAGUGAAAGGAACUAUGUAUAAACUAACUUCGUUGUGAUGAAAACUGUUGUGGUGCUUUUAGAGACAGAGAGAAAGGUAUCUGGGCUGAGGUUCCCAGGGUGGUCUAUGGCCAGGGAUGUGCUAAUAAGCAUGGCUGAUGGCUUGUCACCCAUGUACAUACAGAGAACACUAAUUGAUUCAGUGGGUUUAACAUUAAAAGGGAGAGAACAUGAGAUUGGUAAGGGAAUGGAGGAUACUUGGGAGGAACUGAAGGGUAAUGGGCAGUAUAUAUGAUCAAAUACAUUAUAGAUAUGUUUGAAAUUCCCAAUGAAUAAUAAUAAACAAUUUCUAUAGAUAAUCUAGAGGCAAUUAUAGCAAGAGCCAAUGAUAUGCAGUCUUAAUUCAAAGACAAUACACUAUAUUUCUAAGUAGC
rnacentral:lncRNA from 1 species